GACAGGCGAUGUCGGGCCUUCUCGGGAAGCAGGGCUCCAAUACGUGUAGUGGUUGCCUUGGAUGACCAAGGGUGACCCCACACCCUUCCUCCUUUCUCCCAGCUUUAUCCUGAGC